AGGUUAAGUUAAUAAGGGCGCAUGGUGAAUGCCUUGGUACUAGGAGCCGAUGAAGGACGCAACUAACUGCGAUAAGCUUCGGGGAGCUGUACGUAAGCUUUGAUCCGGAGAUUUCCGAAUGAGGAAACUCGACCAGUGUUAUGACUGGUCACUGCAUAGUGAAUACAUAGCUAUGCAGAGGCAGACGUGGGGAACUGAAACAUCUAAGUACCCACAGGAAUAUAAAGAAAUUUCGAUUCCCUAAGUAGCGGCGAGCGAACGGGGAACAGCCCAAACCGAACCCUUGUGGUUCGGGGUUGUAGGACUGAACAUUUGAGUUACAAAAGUAUUUGAUAGUUGAAGUAGUUGGGAAGCUACACCAAAGAGAGUGACAGUCUCGUAAACGAAAUCGAAUACCCUCAGUUCAGGAUCCUGAGUACGGCGACACACGUGAAACGUCGUCGGAAUCUGGGAGGACCAUCUCCCAAGGCUAAAUACUCCCUAGUGACCGAUAGUGAACCAGUACGUGAGGGAAAGG
rnacentral:rRNA from 2 species